GCGUCCGUAGCUCAAUUGGAUAGAGCACUGGUCUUCGGAACCAGGGGUUGGGGGUUCGAGUCCCUCCGGGCGUGC
rnacentral:tRNA from 1 species